AAAUUGAAGAGUUUGAUCAUGGCUCAGAUUGAACGCUGGCGGCAGGCCUAACACAUGCAAGUCGAACGGUAGCACAGAGAGCUUGCUCUCGGGUGACGAGUGGCGGACGGGUGAGUAAUGUCUGGGAAACUGCCUGAUGGAGGGGGAUAACUACUGGAAACGGUGGCUAAUACCGCAUAACGUCGCAAGACCAAAGAGGGGAACCUUCGGGCCUCUUGCCAUCAGAUGUGCCCAGAUGGGAUUAGCUUGUUGGUGAGGUAACGGCUCACCAAGGCGACGAUCCCUAGCUGGUCUGAGAGGAUGACCAGCCACACUGGAACUGAGACACGGUCCAGACUCCUACGGGAGGCAGCAGUGGGGAAUAUUGCACAAUGGGCGCAAGCCUGAUGCAGCCAUGCCGCGUGUAUGAAGAAGGCCUUCGGGUUGUAAAGUACUUUCAGCGGGGAGGAAGGUGUUGUGGUUAAUAACCGCAGC
rnacentral:rRNA from 1 species